rnacentral:rRNA from 1 species
AGGCCAGACUCCUACGGGAGGCAGCAGUGGGGGAUAUUGCACAAUGGGGGGAACCCUGAUGCAGCAACGCCGCGUGAAGGAAGAAGGGUUUCGGCUCGUAAACUUCUAUCAACAGGGACGAAAGAAAUGACGGUACCUGAAUAAGAAGCCCCGGCUAACUACGUGCCAGCAGCCGCGGUAAUACGUAGGGGGCAAGCGUUAUCCGGAUUUACUGGGUGUAAAGGGAGCGUAGACGGCAGUGCAAGUCCGGAGUGAAAGCCCGGGGCUCAACCCUGGGACUGCUCUGGAAACUGUAAAGCUGGAGUGCGGGAGGGGCAGGCGGAAUUCCUGGUGUAGCGGUGAAAUGCGUAGAUAUCAGGAGGAACACCGGCGGCGAAGGCGGCCUGCUGGACCGUAACUGACGUUGAGGCUCGAAAGCGUGGGGAGCAAACAGGAUUAGAUACCCUUGUAGC